AAAGAAAGAUCAAAAUAAACAAAAAAACUUCACAAAACAUAUCCCCUUUCUUUCAUCAUUUCUCGUUCUCUUUCUCGUUGUCUUUCUCAUUCUCUCUCUCCUUCUCCCUCUUCUCUCUC
rnacentral:ribozyme from 13 species